UACGUAGGGUGCAAGCGUUGUCCGGAAUUAUUGGGCGUAAAGAGCUCGUAGGCGGUCUGUCGCGUCUGCUGUGAAAACUCGGGGCUUAACCCCGGGCCUGCAGUGGGUACGGGCAGACUAGAGUGCGGUAGGGGAGACUGGAAUUCCUGGUGUAGCGGUGAAAUGCGCAGAUAUCAGGAGGAACACCAACGGCGAAGGCAGCUCGCUGGGACGGUACUGACGCUGAGGCGCGAAAGCGUGGGGAGCGAACAGG
rnacentral:rRNA from 1 species